AACACAAUAAUAACUUUCACAAGUUUUUCUUUUUAACGAACGUCGGCAAAAAUGUCUUUUCUCUUAAUUUUUGGCGAAAAGAAAAAUAUUUCCUUUUCUGGGGAUCUCUUUUGUGUGAUUUUUUUUUUUUUUUUGUUGAUACGGAUCGUCACAUAUAAUAUGUGCAUAUAUAUUAGAAAACGUGAAUCCACACACGCAUACAAUCACCCUUUUAUAUGUCAAGCCAUGUGCGAAAAAAGCGAUUGUUAUACUAGAGUAUCCCUUUGGAUGACAAUAAAGAGAAAGAUGGUUCUAAGAAGUGACUAAAGAAGUAUAUAUAUACAACAAGGCCAUCAUUAUAUAUACAAACGACUACAUAUAUAUAUAUAUAUAUGUUACAGUGUAAGAGAGACCAAUCUCGUUAUGUACUGUAAAAUAAAGCUGUAUAGUUUAAAAUCUACUUUAGAAAAAACAAACGAUGUAUGACUAGACGACAUGUUGGAUUUCUCAUUUUAGAAUUGUCUCUUUAUUUUGUUUUUGUCAUUAUGGUAACAAACGCGCGCAAUAUAUUAUCUGCAACACAACGUUAUACUGGUUGAACUAUGUAUUUUUGUUUUGUUGUUGAGAUUUUUCUUUUAAACGGAUGCAAUUUUUUUUUUUUUUGUUUUAUAAAAUCAAAAUUGAGUUGGCCUUACAAAAUUGUACCAUUUCUCCGAUUCAGAACCAAAAUUCUAGAAUUGUAAAUGCCUAAAAGCUUAUGACAUCAGAUAAUGAUAAUACAACUACUGUAGUUGACAAAAAGGAAAUUAAACAUAAAACAAUACAACUAAACCAACGAUAAGCUGAUUCAAAUAUAAAAUUUGAAAUCUC
rnacentral:lncRNA from 1 species